GAAAGAGUUAUUAGUUACUAAGCCUAUAGACUGUGACAAACUUUUAGUAGGGUUAGAGUUUAUAUCUUGUUUAGAGUGUUUUUUUGUUUUGUUUUUAAUUUGGGCAUGGGGAGGGCUUGUUUGCAGGGGUGUGAAAGAAAAGUCAGGGCUACCCACUGCAAGUGGGCUGAUCUGUUUAAUAUGGGGAACUGAAGCACAGAGAAAUUAAGGCCCAGAUCCACAUCUGUCCUUCACAUAUUGCUAAAAGGGAGAAGGUACAGCCUGUAUGAGAAAAGAGUCCCAGGUGGCUUUGUAGAAGAGGGUGUUUCAGUAUGGAAAAGGUUGAGAACCACUUCCCUAAUUCAACCACAGGCUCAUCGGGUGACAAUCAUUAUCUGGUGGUUUUGGUACAGACUGGUCUCCAUGUGACAAAAGCCAUUACCCUCCCGUUGCCAAAUACCAGAUUAUCCCAGCAAAAUCCGUUAUGCCAACCUGAAUCCAGAGGAACGGCACAUGUAGACCAAGGGCAGUGCACACCCUCCAAGAAUGUAAUAACUACAAUUGUAUCUAUUUAAGUCCUAGUCCCAUUUCAUUCAAAGGGGGAGGCUGGUGUCAUGCUUAAGACAGCAGGCUGGGGUUCAUGAUAGAUGGGGUUCAGUACCUGGCUCUGCUGCAAACUUCCCGUCCAACUUUGGGCAAGUUAGUUAAUCUCACUGUGGCUCAGGUCCCCGUGGGGUUAAUAAUACUCAACUUCACUCACUUUUUGUCUUUUGUUGUUGUUGUUGAAACCAAGCUUUUAAGGUCACUUUCAAUAUUUGUAUGCAUAACUCCUAGCACAAGGAGUCAGGGCUCUAUAGAAGCUGGGACAAUGCAAAUAGAUAAUAAUAAACUUGCUUCUGAGAUAGCACGUGAUUUAAAAUCAGCAAUGCAAGAUCAUUAUCAAAUUGUUUCAUUUCAUUGUUUUAAUUAAAAAGGGUUUUUUGUACAGUAUCUACCUGUUAACAGAAAUAUCUAUUUUGGCCAACAACUCAACCAG